rnacentral:rRNA from 1 species
GAUGAACGCUGGCGGCGUGCCUAAUACAUGCAAGUCGAGCGAACAGAUGAGGAGCUUGCUCCUCUGACGUUAGCGGCGGACGGGUGAGUAACACGUGGAUAACCUACCUAUAAGACUGGGAUAACUUCGGGAAACCGGAGCUAAUACCGGAUAAUAUAUUGAACCGCAUGGUUCAAUAGUGAAAGACGGUUUUGCUGUCACUUAUAGAUGGAACCGCGCCGCAUUAGCUAGUUGGUAAGGUAACGGCUUACCAAGGCAACGAUGCGUAGCCGACCUGAGAGGGUGAUCGGCCACACUGGAACUGAGACACGGUCCAGACUCCUACGGGAGGCAGCAGUAGGGAAUCUUCCGCAAUGGGCGAAAGCCUGACGGAGCAACGCCGCGUGAGUGAUGAAGGUCUUCGGAUCGUAAAACUCUGUUAUUAGGGAAGAACAAAUGUGUAAGUAACUAUGCACGUCUUGACGGUACCUAAUCAGAAAGCCACGGCUAACUACGUG